UUAUUUCAAGAGUACUAAGAUAUUUGCAUUAGAAACUAGACAAAGAUACUUACAUGAAUUUAAUUGUUCAAACAAUUAUUAAUCCAAUUUUAAUGUGACAUUGAUGCCAAUAAAGCAUGAAAUUUGACUGAAUGGAACCGUAAAUCCACGUUUUCUUCUUGUCUCUUUUAGCAACACCUGAAUCAUAUUCAGGUUAAUAAACAGCAGAAGCUAAAUAUUUUCCAUCUGCAGAGACUGUAGAAUAAAUGGUUCUGUUAGUACUAUUGUAUGCUGUUUUGGCAUGAAGUUCAAAAAGGGGAACUGAGAGCCUGGUUCUGUUUUUGUUUUCUCACUGGUGAGGACAUCAUGAGGACACAUCUGCAACACGCUGGAACAAAUCCAGUAACGAUGCUUCAGGUUUGAACCUUGUUUAGGUGAAUCAACAGUCAGCGCUCAGAUGAACCUCGGCUGGAUGGCGGGAGGCGUUCGCUGCGUCCCGAUCAAAAGCUCCAACUGCGUCUAUUCUGAGUCGGCUCUGCCUGUUAGAAAACUAUCUGGAGUCCCUCCAACACAUUUCAGCAGAUGAUAAGGGAGGAAUGUGGAGGCCAGAAACAUGUAGCUUCAUGCUUGACAUCCACAAAGAUCAGCAGAGAGGAAUUCAGCCCGAGGGGUCGGCUUCACCAAGGAGAGGACUUCCUGUUUGGGAAUCAAACAGUUCAUCAGACUGAAACGUCUGAAGGUCUCCACCAAAUCCUGGGGAUUUUUAAAAUUAUUUUCCAUUUUGAUGACUUGGUUCCCUUCAUCAGCUGGUUUCAUCUGGACUCAGACAAGCACUCAGAUCCUGUGUUGUCUGAGCGAGCCGUCACUCGAAAACAUUCCACACGUCUGAGCUUAAUCUUACAUAAAUUACCCAAACCAUCAUUUCGACACAUCAGGAGAGAAAACGCCUGUGUGUGAUGGUUUUACCUCCGUUUGCUGCUGUCCGUUUGUAAACACUUUCGCUCUCAGGGUUGGUAACCAACGUGUUCACCUCUGGAUUACAACCAGAGUGUAAAUGGAAACAGACGAGGUUUGGUGGACUAAAAACUGCAUUUUGUUUUAUAAAAUUUAAAUCUAAAUUUACAAAACUAUAAUUUCUGCAGUUUUUCUGUGACCUACACUGCAGAAAUACGAAGUUUAAACAAGUUCUUUUUGUCUAGUUUCUAGUUAAAAUAUCUCAGUGUACUUGAAAUAAGACAAAACUAACUUACGAGUAACUUUUCAGCAACAUGUAGUAGCUUGUUUUAAGUAACUAAUUUCUUAAUGUUGA